UACGUAGGUGGCAAGCGUUGUCCGGAUUUAUUGGGUUUAAAGGGUGCGUAGGCGGCCCUGUAAGUCAGUGGUGAAAUACUCCAGCUUAACUGGAGGGGUGCCAUUGAUACUGCAGGGCUUGAGUACAGAUGAAGUAGGCGGAAUUGACGGUGUAGCGGUGAAAUGCAUAGAUAUCGUCAAGAACGCCGAUAGCGAAGGCAGCUUACUAAGCUGUAACUGACGCUGAGGCACGAAAGUGUGGGGAUCAAACAGG
rnacentral:rRNA from 1 species